UAAGGUUUCAAGGCCUUUAGAUCUUUAACUUCGAAAUUAGGAUUUCAGUUUAAACAAGAUUCAGAUUCAAGUUUUAAAACAAUCCUAAUCACAGCUCUAGGUGAUCAAUCAAAACACUCAAGUUUCAAAUCAAAAUUAAAACCGAUUUUCUAAUUAGGGUUUUAGGGGAUUUCAAAUACUUUGAUCUUUGAUCAAGGGGAUUUGAUUUGAGAUUCAAAAACCUAUAAGGCUCUGAUUUUAAUUGAUCAAUGGAUCAAUAUCUUUCUUAGGUUUAGAUCGAACUUAUAGAGCUUUCGAUUUACUCAUAGGGUAUUGAUCUAUUAUCCUAUGGCUUUCAGUUUUAGAGAUUAUCUUUUAGGGUUUCAAUCUUUACAAGACAACCAGAUUCAAUUCUUGUUCUCAGAAUUAGGGUUACCUUUGUCUUGCAGAUUGUAGAAGCCGGACCUCCAAGAUGGAUGAACCUCGGACGCGAGCUGGACGGACGCUGCCUCCUAUCGGGUCGCGAGUUGCUUUCUUUGCGAGCGGCUGAUCUGAUUGCGAGCUGGUUGAUUGAGAACACGAGCUGGCUAUGUUGCAAACAGGAAGCUGAGCUCGUCUAUGAUCAGGAACACCUUAAGGGCUUUAGCUGAUCGGAUGUAUGCAAGCCGGAAAGCAAGCAAGAACAAUUUAGGGUUCUUCGCACUAACUCCUCUUCAGCUCAUGAAACAAUAAACAAGGAGUAUUAGAUUACAUGAACAUCAUAAUCUAAACAAGAUAUCAUCAAACAACUAAGGUAUGAUAAACUUAUCUUUCACAAGAUUUGAAUUUGGAUAGAAAAUCUUGUUGGCUCGGAUUAGGGUUCCAAGAGCUAAGUCAGCGCCGUGUAUUGUUUCUGCGAGUGUGGGCGCGUCUGAGAUCGGAUCGACGAAAGGUUUGCGCUGAUGGAUUCGUCUCGUCAAGAGCUUCAAUUUGAUAUGUGGCUCGUCGUCUGGUUCGUCGGGGUUGGAGAGAUCGAUCGAUUUGAAGUUCCGCCUGAUUUAGGGUUUAUGUGUGACGGAUUUUGGUUUUUUGGUUUUGUCUCAGGGUCUGGAGACUAUCGUGCUGAUAACGUGUUGUGAACAAUAGAGAAUUCAUGUGUAAUUGUUCUUUCUUAUUAAUCAUCAAAAGGGGUUCCUUAUAUAAGGAUUACAAGAUAGAGAUAAAUGGAAAGUAUACAUAUCCUAAUCCUACUAGAUUUAAGAUAACUACUAAAUACAUAAAAGGAAAGAUAACAUCUAAUAGGAAAAAGGAAAGGUGGUUUCCUUUUCUCUCUAUGCCGCCUCUCUCUCUCCUGAAGUCGGCUCUCUCUCUCUCCUCUUGGACACGGCUGUGGUUGGGCCUGGUCGUGGCCUGAUAGGCCAUCUCUUCUUAUCUUGGUUAAUGGCAAUCCACACAUGUUCAUAACAAUAACCAAUAUAUUGGUUAAUGAUCUUUGUUAACAAUUUAAUAUAUAUAAAUGUAACCGAAAAUUAUGAAAAAAUUCAAAACUAAUCACCGUUAAUCUCUAACUAAUCUUAAAAUUUCAACUGAUUUGCAAACCCCAAGCACCGAACUCACGCAUGUCGUUAUUUUGAACAUGACAUAUAUCUUAGAGGAAUUGCAUCCUACAUCCAUCAAACAAAUUAUAAUUCAUCCACUAACUAAAAACCCUGUUUUUUCAAUAUACACUGUACACGUUAUAGAUUAUUGCCAUAUUACCCUUGCAACCAACCGGUGAAACCUGCUGACAAAAAAAAUUAAAAAUAUAUAAAAAAUUUUAGCCACAUCUUCUAAUCCAUCACCACCACCUCCAAGUCUCUACUCCACCAUCUCUUUCUAGUGUCUUUCUUUCUUCUUCAGAUUAUCAAAAAAAUCAUACAUUUUCUUCUGUCACAUAAUUUUUCUCUUUCAAUACUUCACCAAAAAAAUAAUCAAUUCUAAAGAAGAGACAACGAUGAAGUCAUAGACGGUGAGCACACACAACAACUCUUUCCUUUUUUUUAAAUCAAUUAAUUCUCACAAUUAUGCUUUUGUUUUUAUACUCUGUUUUCGUUUCUGUUUUUGUUUUAAAGAUCCAGUGGUGAAGAACAUACAGCGAUGAAAACGUAGACGGUGAGCACACACAAAAACUUUUUUUUUCUCUUUUUUUUUCUUAAAUCAAUUGAUUCUCACAAUCAUGAUUUUGUUUACAUACUCUGUUUUCCUUUAUGUUUUUGUUUUACAGAUCUUGUGGUGAAGAACAACGACGGCGAAUCGGUUAAAGCAUCAUCGUGUCGGGAAAAAGAGAGGAGAUAAAGAUGAUCUCUAUAUAUGGUGGUGAACGAAAUGAAUAUGUAUCAGCCUAUCUAAAAAAAAAGAAUUGAAGAAGAUGAAUUCACCGUCUAUACUAUAUUUGGUGAAAUGAAUAGUAUAGUAUAUAUUUUUAAGUAUAGCUACUUAUGUACAGUUACCAUACUAUUUGAGACAUAUUUCUAUACUACUCCUUAAAAAUGUAAUAAUAUGUCAUGUUUUUAAAUUUGAUAGGUCUCUUCUUUGUCAAUAUGUGUGAUUGAUUGUAAUAUGAAAUUCAUUUUUCGAGUGUUGGACAAAUUUGAUUAUUUGGAACAUUCGUUUACUAUACUACUUAGAAUAUAUGGAAUAUAAGAUAUGUAAUAUGCUAAGCAAUUAAAUGUGAUUUCAAGUGUUAAAUAUUGGAAAACAAUUUAUAGAUUGUAUUUGGGUUUAUAGGUUUUUGCCUAGAGUUUAGAUUUACUAAGUAAAAGUUUGGGUAUAGUAAACCAUAUUAUAUAUAUUCUAUUUGGGUUUAUAUUUUCUUGAUUAGGGUUUAGCUUAAUCUAUUUAUUUCAAGUAAAUGUGCUUUCAAGUGUUUAAUAUUGGAAAACAAUUUAUAGAUUGCAUUUGGGUUUAUAGGUUCAUGCAUAGGGUUUAGAUUUACUAAGUAAGUGUUUGGGUAUAGUAAACCAUAUUAUAUACAUUCUAGAACCUGUCGAUCGAUGUCCUCAACUGACUAUCGCUCGACGUAGGCAAAGGUGUA